GACGAACGCUGGCGGCGUGCUUAACACAUGCAAGUCGAACGAAGUGGCGAACGGGUGAGUAAUACGUGGGUAACCUGCCCUCCUUUUUGGGAUAAACCUUGGAAACGGGGUCUAAUACCGAAUAAAGGGGGAGGGGCUCGCGGCCUGUAAGCUGGUUGGUGGGGUGCUGACCUACCAAGGCGGUGACGGGUAGCCGGCCUGAGCGGGUGACCGGGCACAUAGGGACUGAGCAACGGCCCAGAGUCCUACGGGGGGGAGCAGGUGGGGAGAUUGCAGAAUGGGCGAAAGCGUGAUGCAGCGAGGCCGCGUGGGGGAUGAAGUCCUUCGGGUUGUAAACCUCUUGCGCUACCGAGCGGGUAGCUGGAGAAGAAGCGCCGGCUAACUACGUGCCAGCAGCCGCGGUAAUUC
rnacentral:rRNA from 1 species